GGAGCAGCAUAGAGCAAAAGCACAACUGCCUCGCCCUGCAGGACUGCCAUGGGCUUAGGAGAGGUGAUGCCACAUGUAUACCUACUGCAGGGCCCACGGGCCAAGGCGAUCAGAGGGCCAGGGUGUUUGGGGCUGUCCCUGCCCCUUUCUAGUAUUUGUCUCUAUGCCCAGAGGCCACCACUAAAAUUUAAAUGUUAUCUGGAAGGGAAACCCUAUUAAACCAUUGUCAGAAUUACCUCCCCAGUUUAAAUUAGUUGAUCGGUUAUUAAACAUCUGGGCGUGAAUCAGUCCACACCGAUUGCUUGAAAUGUUGUUGGCAGCUGUGGCUUAAGAAGAGCUCUGUCUAUGGGGACCUGAUUUAAAUCCCUACCUUGCCACCUUGAGUGGAUGGCAAGCUGUAUCACACAGCUGGGGAGUUUGCUCUAGAGACAUGGCCUCCAGAGCCCCCACCCCCGGGAUCCUGAGUCACCAGGUUAGUGUUUAGCAAAUACCAUAGGAGGCCAGGCUGCCCAGUGAGGAAACCCUGAAGAGCAGCUAACCUUGGGAGCUGUCCGCAGUCUGCCUCAGCUUCUGCCUCAGAAGCAGGGGUGUUCAUGGCUCCCAACGCUGUCAUGGGAGGGGAUUAACAUGAGCCAGGGGAGGUUUGAUGAAGGAGGGGCCCUUUUCUUGUGUGAGGCCAGCGUCCAGGAGGGCCUGACAUGUAACAUGUGUAUUGUGAGGCCGUGCGUGAAAUGAGCACUGCAGUGCUGAGCCUAAGUCCUGUGGGGACAGCAGUGACACCCGAGGGGGCCAACUGCCCACAGCCAUCUCUACACCUAUGCUCCGGGCUGUGGAGCUACCAGCCACACCAGACUGGGCCGGUGCUGGCCAGGUGCCCUCCCGGGUCACUAAGGAAGAUUGCUGGGCCUGCAGAAGGCAGAGGGUGCAGAGAGAAAGCGUGGACCACAGCUGGUACAUUCCCCAGAAGCCACUGCACAUUGCAGCCCAAGGUAGCAGGGAGAUGCUCACAGAGUGCAAGUGUCUACCAGGCAUCUCAAGAGUAUCAGCACCAGGGCUUGGAUCAGCUCUCCUCCUAAGUCCUUGUGUCAGAGACAAAGAGGAUAGCCCUGAGAGGACAGGGACCUUCCCCAGAUGACACAGCCCAUAAGGAUUCCUGAAGCAGGUGUUUUCCUACUCUAACCUUCCCAACAACUCGUGUCCUAAGCUGUUUGUAGCGGUGGAAAGGACGGUCAACCUCCCACCUGACAACAAGAAGAUGAAAAUUG
rnacentral:lncRNA from 1 species